ACGGUAUCCCUAGAAUAAGCGACGGCAAACUACGUGCCAGCAGCCGCGGUAACACGUAGGUCGCGAGCGUUAUCCGGAUUUACUGGGCGUAAAGCGCUUGUAGGCGGUUCUGUAAGUCGGGCGUGAAAUCUCCGGGCUUAACCCGGAGUGGCCGUUCGAUACUGCAGGGCUUGAGGAUGCUAGAGGGUGGUGGAAUUCCAGGUGUAGUGGUGAAAUGCGUAGAUAUCUGGAGGAACAUCCGUGGCGAAGGCGGCCACCUGGGGCAUUCCUGACGCUGAGAAGCGACAGCUAGGGGAUCAAACGGGAUUAGAAACCCCGGUAGUCCUAGCCGUAAACGAUGGACGCUAGGUGUUGGCAGAUCUAACCCUGUCUGCGCCGAAGCAAACGCGUUAAGCGUCCCGCCUGGGAACUACGGUCGCAAGAUUAAAACUCAAAGGAAUUGACGGGGACCCGCACAAGCAGCGGAGCGUGUGGUUUAAUUCGAUGCUACACGAAGAACCUUACCCAGGUUUGACAUACUAGUGGUAGUGAACUGAAAGGGGAACGACCCGCAAGGG
rnacentral:rRNA from 1 species